rnacentral:rRNA from 1 species
GACGAACGCUGGCGGCGUGCUUAACACAUGCCAGUCGAACGGAAAGGCCCUGCUUUUGUGGGGUGCUCGAGUGGCGAACGGGUGAGUAACACGUGAGUAACCUGCCCUUGACUUUGGGAUAACUUCAGGAAACUGGGGCUAAUACCGGAUAGGAGCUCCUGCUGCAUGGUGGGGGUUGGAAAGUUUCGGCGGUUGGGGAUGGACUCGCGGCUUAUCAGCUUGUUGGUGGGGUAGUGGCUUACCAAGGCUUUGACGGGUAGCCGGCCUGAGAGGGUGACCGGCCACAUUGGGCCUGAGGUACGGCCCAGACUCCUACGGGAGGCAGCAGUGGGGAAUAUUGCACAAUGGGCGGAAGCCUGAUGCAGCAACGCCGCGUGCGGGAUGACGGCCUUCGGGUUGUAAACCGCUUUCGCCUGCGACGAAGCGUGAGUGACGGUAAUGGGUAAAGAAGCACCGGCUAACUACGUG